CCUACGGGUGGCAGCAGUCGAGAAUCAUUCACAAUGGGGGAAACCCUGAUGGUGCGACGCCGCGUGGGGGAAUGAAGGUCUUCGGAUUGUAAACCCCUGUCAUGUGGGAGCAAAUUAAAAAGAUAGUACCACAAGAGGAAGAGACGGCUAACUCUGUGCCAGCAGCCGCGGUAAUACAGAGGUCUCAAGCGUUGUUCGGAAUCACUGGGCGUAAAGCGUGCGUAGGCUGUUUCGUAAGUCGUGUGUGAAAGGCGCGGGCUCAACCCGCGGACGGCACAUGAUACUGCGAGACUAGAGUAAGGGAGGGGAAACCGGAAUUCUCGGUGUAGCAGUGAAAUGCGUAGAUAUCGAGAGGAACACUCGUGGCGAAGGCGGGUUCCUGGACAGUAACUGACGCUGAGGCACGAAGGCCAGGGGAGCGAAAGGGAUUAGAUACCCUUGUAGUC
rnacentral:rRNA from 1 species